rnacentral:rRNA from 1 species
GACGGAAGGUGCAAGCGUUGCUCGGAAUCACUGGGCGUAAAGGGUGCGUAGGCGGCUUGGUAGGUCUGGUGUGAAAGCCCCGGGCUCAGCCUGGGAAGGGCACUAGAAACUGCCAAGCUAGAGUGCCGGAGGGGAGAGUGGAAUUCCUGGUGUAGCGGUGAAAUGCGUAGAGAUCAGGAGGAAUACCGGUGGCGAAAGCGACUCUCUGGACGGCAACUGACGCUGAGGCACGAAAGCGUGGGGAGCAAACAGG